CCGUGUGCCUACAAGCCGUCAGAGCCUUUUGGGUGAUGGCGUGCCUUUUGAAGAAUGAGCCUGCGAGUCAGCGGCAUGUCGCGAGGUUAACCCGUGUGGGGUAGCCGUAGGGAAACCGAAUCCUAAUGGGGUGUAAAGUGGCAUGUCCUGGACCCGAAGCGGGGUGAUCUACCCAUGGCCAGUGUGAAGCAGCUGUAAGAGGUUGUGGAGGCGCGAACCCACGUAGGUUGAAAACUGCGGGGAUGAGCUGUGGGUAGGGGUGAAAGGCCAAUCAAACUCCGUGAUAGCUGGUUCUCCCCGAAAUGCAUUUAGGUGCAGCGUCGUGUGUUUCAUCUUGGAGGUAGAGCUACUGGAUGGUCAAGGGGGCUUAUCCGCUUACCAACACCAGCCAAACUCCGAAUGCCAGGAUGUGAGAGCACGGCAGUGAGACUGUGGGGGAUAAGCUUCAUAGUCGAGAGGGAAACAGCCCAGAUCGCCGGCUAAGGCCCCUAAGCGUGUACUAAGUGGAAAAGGAUGUGGGAUCGCUUAGACAACCAGGAGGUUGGCUCAGAAGCAGCCACCCUUGAAAGAGUGCGUAAUAGCUCACUGGUCAAGUGGUCCUGCGCCGACAAUGUAGUGGGGCUCAAGUACACCGCCGAAGCCGCGGCAUUCCUUUUUGGGAUGGGUAGGGGAGCGUCGUGUAUCCGUUGAAGCUGCAGAGUGAUCUAGUGGUGGAGGGUAUGCGAGUGAGAAUGCAGGCAUGAGUAGCGAAUGACAUGUGGGAAACAUGUCCUCCGGAUGACCAAGGGUUCCUGGGCUAGGCUAAUCCUCCCAGGGUGAGUCGGGUCCUAAGGCGAGGCCGACAGGCGUAGUCGAUGGAUAACGGGUUGAUAUUCCCGUACCCGUAUAAGCGCGCCCAUGGUGAAUCAGUGAUACUAACUGUCCAGAAGCUGCUGUUUUCUCUUUUUAAGGAGAUGGUUGUGGAUGCGCAGGACCUGAUCUGGUAGUAGCCAAGCGAUGGGGUGACGCAGGAAGGUAGCUGUGCCAGGUAGUGGAUUGCCUGGUGUAAGCGUGUAGGGUGACAGGUUGGUAAAUCCGCUUGUUGUGUACCUGAGACGUGAUGCGUAGCCAUUGUGGUGAAGUUAGUGAUCCUAUGCUGCCGAGAAAAGCCUCUAGUGAGUUCUUAUGCGGCCCGUACCCUAAACCGACACAGGUGGUCAGGUAGAGAAUACUAAGGAGUUCGAGAGAACUGUGGUUAAGGAAUUCGGCAAAAUGCCCCCGUAACUUUGGAAGAAGGGGGACCGAUGUUGGUGAGCACUUUUUCGGUGUGAGCUGGUGUUGGUCGCAGAGACCAGAGAGAAGCGACUGUUUACCAAAAACACAGGUCCGUGCGAAGACGUAAGUCGAUGUAUACGGACUGACGCCUGCCCGGUGCUGGAAGGUUAAGAGGACUGGUUAGUGGCCCUUGUGGCUGCGAAGCUGAGAAUUUAAGCCCCAGUAAACGGCGGUGGUAACUAUAACCAUCCUAAGGUAGCGAAAUUCCUUGUCGGGUAAGUUCCGACCUGCACGAAUGGCGUAACGACUUCUCUACUGUCUCAACCACAGACUCGGCGAAAUUGCAUUACGAGUAAAGAUGCUCGUUACGCGCGGCAGGACGAAAAGACCCCGGGACCUUUACUAUAGCUUGGCAUUGGUGUUCGGUUUUGUUUGUGUAGGAUAGGUGGGAGACUGUGAAGCUCAUGCGCUAGUGUGGGUGGAGUCGUUGUUGAAAUACCACUCUGAUGAAAUUGGACUUCUAACCUCGGACCAUGAUCUGGUUUAGGGACAGUGCCUGGUGGGUAGUUUAACUGGGGCGGUUGCCUCCCAAAGAGUAACGGAGGCGCCCAAAGGUUCCCUCAGCCUGGUUGGCAAUCAGGUGUUGAGUGUAAGUGCACAAGGGAGCUUGACUGUGAGACUGACAAGUCGAACAGGGACGAAAGUCGGGACUAGUGAUCCGGCACCGGCUUGUGGAAGCGGUGUCGCUCAACGGAUAAAAGGUACCCCGGGGAUAACAGGCUGAUCUUCCCCAAGAGUCCAUAUCGACGGGAUGGUUUGGCACCUCGAUGUCGGCUCGUCGCAUCCUGGGGCUGGAGUCGGUCCC
rnacentral:rRNA from 1 species